rnacentral:rRNA from 1 species
AUUGAACGCUGGCGGCAUGCCUUACACAUGCAAGUCGAACGGCAGCACGGGUGCUUGCCCCUGGUGGCGAGUGGCGAACGGGUGAGUAAUACAUCGGAACAUGUCCUGUAGUGGGGGAUAGCCCGGCGAAAGCCGGAUUAAUACCGCAUACGAUCUACGGAUGAAAGCGGGGGACCUUCGGGCCUCGCGCUAUAGGGUUGGCCGGUGGCUGAUUAGCUAGUUGGUGGGGUAAAGGCCUACCAAGGCGACGAUCAGUAGCUGGUCUGAGAGGACGACCAGCCACACUGGGACUGAGACACGGCCCAGACUCCUACGGGAGGCAGCAGUGGGGAAUUUUGGACAAUGGGCGAAAGCCUGAUCCAGCAAUGCCGCGUGUGUGAAGAAGGCCUUCGGGUUGUAAAGCACUUUUGUCCGGAAAGAAAUACUUGGCCCUAAUACGGUCGGGGGAUGACGGUACCGGAAGAAUAAGCACCGGCUAACUACGUG